rnacentral:tRNA from 1 species
GCGCCCGUAGCUCAGCUGGAUAGAGCACCAGGCUUCGAACCUGGGGGCCGGGGGUUCGAGUCCCUCCGGGCGCGCCA